rnacentral:snoRNA from 10 species
UGGGAGGCUGAUACACAAAUUGGGCUGAAGUAGUGCUCUGAUUGUCACCAUACCUCCCCAAAACAAACUGCCUUUUGAUGACCGGGACGAAUUGAGUGAAAUCGUAACGGACAGAUACGGGGCAGACAGUU